GGUUAAGCGACUAAGCGUACACGGUGGAUGCCCUGGCAGUCAGAGGCGAUGAAGGGCGUGCUAAUCUGCGAUAAGCGCCGGUAAGGUGAUAUGAACCGUUAUAACCGGCGAUACCCGAAUGGGGAAACCCAGUGUGACUCGUCACACUAUCAUUACGUGAAUACAUAGCGUAAUGAAGCGAACCGGGGGAACUGAAACAUCUAAGUACCCCGAGGAAAAGAAAUCAACCGAGAUUCCCCCAGUAGCGGCGAGCGAACGGGGAGGAGCCCAGAGCCUGAAUCAGCAUGUGUGUUAGUGGAAGCGUCUGGAAAGGCGCGCGAUACAGGGUGACAGCCCCGUACACAAAAGCGCAUGUGCUGUGAGCUCGAUGAGUAGGGCGGGACACGUGGUAUCCUGUCUGAAUAUGGGGGGACCAUCCUCCAAGGCUAAAUACUCCUGACUGACCGAUAGUGAACCAGUACCGUGAGGGAAAGGCGAAAAGAACCCCGGCGAGGGGAGUGAAAAAGAACCUGAAACCGUGUACGUACAAGCAGUGGGAGCACAGGUUUACCUGUGUGACUGCGUACCUUUUGUAUAAUGGGUCAGCGACUUAUAUUCUGUAGCAAGGUUAACCGAAU
rnacentral:rRNA from 1 species